UCAGGACGAACGCUGGCGGCGUGCUUAACACAUGCAAGUCGAGCGGUAAGGCCUUUCGGGGUACACGAGCGGCGAACGGGUGAGUAACACGUGGGUGAUCUGCCCUGCACUUCGGGAUAAGCCUGGGAAACUGGGUCUAAUACCGGAUAUGACCUCAGGUUGCAUGACUUGGGGUGGAAAGAUUUAUCGGUGCAGGAUGGGCCCGCGGCCUAUCAGCUUGUUGGUGGGGUAAUGGCCUACCAAGGCGACGACGGGUAGCCGACCUGAGAGGGUGACCGGCCACACUGGGACUGAGACACGGCCCAGACUCCUACGGGAGGCAGCAGUGGGGAAUAUUGCACAAUGGGCGAAAGCCUGAUGCAGCGACGCCGCGUGAGGGAUGACGGCCUUCGGGUUGUAAACCUCUUUCAGCAGGGACGAAGCGCAAGUGACGGUACCUGCAGAAGAAGCACCGGCUAACUACGUGCCAGCAGCCGCGGUAAUACGUAGGGUGCAAGCGUUGUCCGGAAUUACUGGGCGUAAAGAGUUCGUAGGCGGUUUGUCGCGUCGUUUGUGAAAACCAGCAGCUCAACUGCUGGCUUGCAGGCGAUACGGGCAGACUUGAGUACUGCAGGGGAGACUGGAAUUCCUGGUGUAGCGGUGAAAUGCGCAGAUAUCAGGAGGAACACCGGUGGCGAAGGCGGGUCUCUGGGCAGUAACUGACGCUGAGGAACGAAAGCGUGGGUAGCGAACAGGAUUAGAUACCCUGGUAGUCCACGCCGUAAACGGUGGGCGCUAGGUGUGGGUUCCUUCCACGGAAUCCGUGCCGUAGCU
rnacentral:rRNA from 1 species